GAUCAAACUGAUCUCAACUGUGGUCCUUUCAAAAUCAUCACUAUACAACUGGAAAAGAUGAAGAAAAGGGCAAGCAAAAUAAUCAAGGGUUUGGAACCUUACCCUUGCACCAUCUCAUCUUGCAGAGGGGAAAAAAGGCUAAUAGUUAACAUCUAACAAUUUGGUACACACUAGAUGAUUUAAACUUCCUAGAUAAGUAUGCAGAAUAAAACAUAAUUUUCACUAGCUCCCCAAGUA